rnacentral:tRNA from 1 species
GGGAAUGUGGCUUAGAGGUAGAGUGCUUGCCUUGCACGCAUGAGGCUAUAGGUUCAAUCCCUCAGCACCA